rnacentral:lncRNA from 1 species
UGAUGUUCGAAAUUUGAAACUAAGAACAGCCCUGGUAAAUUGGUGAACCACAUGAAAUCGUGCCAAGAAUUGGAGCAUAAUUGAAUCAAUAGAUUUGUGAAGUUUAUGUCUCCAAAAUGAAAGGAUCGUGUUCAAGCUAAUCCUUUACCUCUCCUCUCAUCUGGACCGAGUUAAAACUCAGAUUAGGAUCGAUUGAUUUCCCCCUUGAAAAAGUUCCCGUUCGAUAGAUAGGUAAGAAUAAGCCUUAGACCCAAGUAAACUCGCUUAGCCUCGAUUGAUUUAUGACCUUAACCGUGGUUAUCCCAAAUAUACAUUGUUAAUGAUGAUGGGAUUGAGGAGGAUGGUAGGCUCCUUGGCCUAGGUAACAUUUAACAUUGCAAUGAUGGGAUGGAAUGUACUUUGUUAUACUGCAUUGCCUAAUCACCUGGAAAUGCUGCUUUAUUUUUUUUGGUAGGUAGCAUCAUUAUUUGUUACAACUCACUACUAAACUUACAAAGACGUAUUUCUGAUAUCACAAACAAUUGGGGCAUUUGGAUGAGUCGUGCUGUCAUGUUUAUCUUGAUUCGUUUCAACUGUUAUGUAUUUUUAUUCCUCAACUUGCUCUAUAAAGCUUAACAGAAUCAAAAUUGAUUAGAUGGUAAUUAUUAGCCAAUACUGAAUAAUCACAACCGAGUCAAAUUGAUGAACAGGCGGUGUCACUAUAUCCGAAUUAAUCACAAUUAAAAUAAUGGUUAUGGAACAACAGGUUAUGUCAGGCCACUUUAUUUUUUUCCUCUUUAUCUCUGUUUUCCGAGAUAUCUUUUUCGGCUCCUUUACGAGAAAAGGAAGACUCACUGGAAAUUAUGAAUACCCAACUGAGGGGAAUCUCUUUUUAAUAGUAAUGCAAUAAUGCAAUGCAGACAGGGAGCAAUGCAGUCUUUUUAAUAGUAAUGCAAUAGACAGGGAAUCUCUUUUUAAUAGAAAAGUCUUUAAACAUUAACUUUUGGGACAGAAAAAAAAAAUGCCUGUGUACUUAAAAAAAAAAAAAAAGGAAAUUACAAUAUAUUCCAUAUUUUAAUAAAAUAAAAUCUCUUUGAAAAAUAAUUUAACGAGGUAGAGGCAGCCAUUAAAUGUUCCCGACCCUAACAGUGAUAAAAUUUUGGAUAAUAAAUAGUAUAAUUUUUAAUCAAUGUUCAAGAUAUUCAAUGGUACAAAGACCAUCCAUCCUAAUUUCAUUAGAAAUCUAUAGUAAUUAGCCUCUAAAAAUUAUUACCCAAUCAAGAUAUUAAAAGUGUAUUACCUUUAGCAUAUAAAUAGGAAGAAAUAGAUAGCAUAAAAUUCCUCAUCCUCUUGAGUUCAUCUCCUCAACAAACUUGGCUGUUUUUACAAGUUAAUAUUAUAACAAUUGAAUUGGAGAGUAAAGUCAUAAAUCGAUAAGAUGAAAAUGGAGAACCAAGUAGAUGGUUCAUUAGGAGGCAGGUAUAAGCCAUUCUUUGCUGCAGUUUUCUUGCAAGUUAGGUUUGCAUUAAUCCUGGGGAUGAGCAAUUUACGUACUGGAUGUUUACCGCCAUGCCAUUGCCACCCUUGUUAUGGCUCUUUUCGCUGCUUUUCCUGUCAAACAAAAAAGAGGAGUAGAUCGUUAAAAAGGUAAAAAUGACAUGAAUGGAGUUCAAGAGAGAAAGAAGAAGAAGAAUAUACCUGUCAAGAAAAGCAGCGAAAGGAGCCAUAACAAGGGUGGCAAUGCUCAUCCCCAGGUUUAAUGCAGUCGUAGAUAAGAUAUCCAUGACUGCAAACUCAACUUGCAAGAAAACUGCAGCAAAGAAUGUCUUAUACCUGCCUCCUAAUGAACCCUCUACUUGGUUCUCCUUUUUUAUCCUACAGAUUUAUGACUUUACUCUCCUAUUCAAUUGUUAUAAUAUUAACUUGUAAAAACAGCCAAGUUUGUUGAGGAUAUGAACUCAUGAGGAUGGGGAAUUUUCUGCUAUCUAUUUCUUCCUAUUUAUAUGUUAAAGUUGAUACACUUUUGAUAUCUUGAUUGGAUAAUAAUUUUUAGAGACUAAUUAAUGAAAUUAAGAUUGAUUGUCUUUAUACUAUUGAAUUUCUUGAACAUUGAUAAAAAAUUACACUACUUAUUAUCUAAAAUUUUAUUUCGCUGUAAGGGUCGAGCCCAAACAAUAUAUUUUUUUAUCUAAAAUUGAAAAAUAUUUUUUAUUAAUUUUAUUAGAAAGUAUAAACAAUCAAAUAUUUUUUAUUUCUCCUAAAAACAUAAAAUAAAAUAUCAGAAGCGUUUCAGUUUUUUUCAUAUUUAAAAGCAACUCCUUUUUAUCAAACCACUUUUCAGUUUUUACGGAAUUUUUUUUCAGUUUUUUAUUUUUAUUUUUAUGUUUGUUUCAUGUAAAAUAAGAAGAUUAACAUAAAAUAUUUUUCAGUCACCGUAAAAUUACUUUCUUACUUCCGUAACUGUAACACCUCCAUACCCGACCUAAACAUCCGAUCAAAGCACCGGGAUCUAUUACAUUCUUCAUUUAUUAAAUAUUUUCUUAUAAAUUUUCAUAACUUCUUAAUUUAGUCCCUUUUUGUCAUAAAAGUUCAAUAUUCACUAAAUUAAUCAUAUUAAAUCAAAUUUUUUCUUGUUACACUUUAAUCACAUAAUUUAUGUCAAUAUCUUGUUACACAUAUUAAAUUUUUAUGUAUUUCACUUUUAUGAUUUCAUCCACAUAUUUUCUCAAGUUUAACAAUUUAGUCCUUAUCAUCAUAAGAAUUUCAUAUUUUUCCACAAUUUUACUUUUACAAUACUUGAUGCAUAUUGCAUCAUCUCAUAACGCAUUCACUAAACUUUUGUCAUAAUUUUCUUAUUCACAUAUUAAAUUAUUUAACACUUAAUCUUUUGUACAUUUUGCCAUGUAAUUUAUUUUUCACCAUAUAAGCACUUUAAUCAAAUAAUUUAUUAUAAUAUCUUAUUUCACGUAACAAAUUUUUCAUGCAUAUCGCUUCUCUUGUUUCAAUUAUAAAUUUCACAAGAUUUAUAAUUUAAUCCUUAACAUCACGAAGAAUUAUUAUUAAUAUUUUAAAAUACAACUUCUAUAAAAUACUUUCAGAAAAUCUAUAAAAUAAAGCUUUCCAGAAACCAUUUUUAAAGAGACAAACGUAUCCUUAAUGUAAGCAAAGCAAAAUACAAAUUUCAAACCGCAAAAAGCAAUACAAAUUUUUGUGUACUCUGAUUUUUCGGUGGGUUGGGUGUCUUUUACCCUCUUUAUCCUCAAGAAGACAAAUUUCAAACUGCAAGAAGCAAUACAAAUUUGCAUAUUUUUCCAAACUACACUAAUAUCCAACCACUACACUCCAUCUAACAUUCAAAACUUUCACAAACUUUUCUGUACUCUGAUUUAUGGCAUCUUUGUUGGCAUAUAUAUAUACAUAUACACAAUAACAAAACCAUCUCUUUCACCUUUAAUUUUUCAUUUUCAAUGGCUAUAAUUCAUGGCCCUAACUGUUAAGCUAACCUAGAGAUUAGCCUACAGAGAUAAAACACUACUUUAAGUUUUAUUUUUUCAUUUUCAAUCUCCUCCUGUAGAGAUAAAACACUACUUUGAGCAGUUCGAUGAUGAAAGGAAGAGAAGGACUACAGUGUUUGGUUUUAUGAGCCAUUUGCCUGCUGGAAAUGCUACUGAGUUAUGGUUGAGUAGUGACGGGUUUGCUCUUACUUGAAAAAAGGAAAAAAAAAAAAGAAUACAAAAUUAAUUUUGCUCUUACUUGAAAGAGAUUGACGGGUGGACCGAUGGUGACUACCUGACUGGUGAACAAUGAUGGUGGACCGGUGGUGACUGCCUGACUGAUGAAUGACGAUGGUGGUGGCCGGUGGGUGUAUUUUUCUCAUUUUGAUUAUUACUUGUAAUGUAUUGAUGGGAGCAGGCUUCCUAACUAGCACAAGUAACCUAAUGCCAUGAGCGUUAAUUAAAUAACAGAAGGGCUUGAAUACCUUAAUAUACCAGCUGAAUUCAUGUUGAAGGGUCUUCAUUUUUCUCUUCUUUUCUUUUCUAUGAGUGUUCUUGAAUUUGUGUAUUUCUGUCGAUGAACAAAACAGAUAAUGAUGGUGUUGGUUUGUACUGAAGCUGGUGAUUCUAUGAGAGGAGAAAGAAGAAACGAGGGGAGAGAUGGAAGAAAAUGAAAUUAAUUUUUUUGAUGAAACUUUUUUAACGGUUGGACUAAAAAUAUUAUCAAAUUCAAAAUUUAGGUCCCUUAAUAAAAAAAUAAUACUACUAUAAAUCAAGGCAAUUUAUUUUCUUGUACUUUUUCAUUUUCUCUAUCCAUUCCUUUAAUUUUUAUCUAAUUUUAUUAUUUUUAUUUUUGGAAGGGUGACAAACUAAAACAACAAGAGCCAAAACACGAAAAUUGACUCAUUUUUAAAUUCCAUAUAACCUUUUGAAGUGCUAUCAAACUAUAUCAAUUAGUGCUUAAACCUUAUUAUUGCUUAUAGUUGACAUCAUAAAUUCUUCCAGAGACACUCAUUUUAGAUAGAAUCAUGUCUUUGGGCUAGAUUUGCAAUUGAUCUUAUAGCUAGAUUUGAGCAUAUAGUACAUCAUUUAUCUGUGACUCUCCUUUUGGCCAUGAAUCAUGGUGUGGAGUCACAAACAUCUUUGCUGGGGCUCUACCCUACAUCUUGAACUUGAAACAGACCAUUAAAGUUUUAUUGAAUGAUAUUUUAAUAGUAGACGUUGACGGCUAAGUUUAAGUCCAAAAGAAGAAACGAGUUUAAACAAUCAAAUAACAUUGUCAAUCAAAAGUUCUUUUAUCUACAAACCCACUUGAAUGUGAGUUGAGAAUUUGUUUGAGAACAAGCAAAUGGUUAAGUGUGGAGAUAUUUAGUAAGUGCUAAAACUAACAUAUUUUAACCUCAUUCUUAAUCCGUUUUUGGGUGAUUAUUUAUUGUUAAUUGUAAAUUUUAUGCUUCUAAUCCUUUAAAUUCGUGUUUUAAUGCUAAAUAGAGCACUUGGGAGCAAAAGGAGCAAAGAACGAGCGAAAAUCGAAAAAUCGGAGCAAUCUACUAGAGCCACACAACCGUGUGACCUAAACAGGCUACCACAUGGUCAUGUCGUAGGUUGUGUCGCACGUCGUGUCUAUUUCAUGGAAUGGCGCACUAAACAGCGGAAAACACAUUUUUUAGGUUUUUUGGGCAUUCUAAGACGUAUAUAUGACAAAAAUAAGAAGAUAGGAGAGUGUUGUCAUAGAAUAUUCAAGAAAACAACUCGAAAAAAACCAUUGAAGCUAAUUCUGAAGCAGGUUUCCGUCAAGAUUGAAGAUUCCCAGUUGAUUUCUUAACAGAUUAUCACGAGUUUCUUUAUUUUUUUCGGUUAUGCUGUAUCUUAGAUGUAUUUAUUUUCAAGCAUGAACUAAUUUCUAAAUACCUAAGGAGAUGAAUCCUAUGAUGGAUUCUGUCAUUUGAUUUUUAUUUUACGCAAUAAACUUAGUUCCUUGUUCUCAAUUAUGUGUGUUUAAUUCUUGGCUUAAUAUUUAUAGACUAUUGAUCCAUUUUUGAUGUGCUUAAAUCGAAUGUUGAAUAGACUCUGUUUAAGAGUAGAUCUUGUGUAAUUGAGUGGAGUUGCAUGCAAUCCUAAAAAUAAGACAACACAAAUGUACUGAAUUAGAGACAAAUCUAAUUGGGGAAUCCAUAGCACGAGUUAAUGCGAUAAUAGGGGUUUCAAUUAGAAAGAAAUUUCAAUAUUUGCAUAAUUUAGGGAUUUCUAUGGAUCAAGUUACUAAGUAAAGAAAUUGCGUAAUUUAGAUUAAUAGUGACAGAUGAAAUCUAGGUGAAUUCUUUCUUUACUAUUGUUUCACUUCUUGGUUGUUAAUUGAUUAUUUUCCUGUUUUGUUCUUUACCGUGUUCGUUAAUUAGUUAAUUUAGUUAAAUUUAGUUUUUAAUCAAUUACUCAAAUUUAUCAGUUAAAUAAUACAAAGACAGUAACUACUAGUACUUUUAGUCUUCGUGAAAACAAUAUCUUUACUCACCGUAACUAUACUAUUAAUUUAUAGGUACAUUUUACUUAGUCAAAUUUUUAGUUAAUUCAUGACUACACAUUAGUCCAGGUAAAGUUAAGUUAUGUCUUUUGUUUGAAGUUUAAUUCCAACAACUUGUUAGCAUCGACUGUUAGUAAUGUUGGCAACCUACAUGAGUUGAUCAUUGGAUGUCAUUUUUGCAUAUUAAGUGAUUGUAUGUGUAAUGGUGGAUGUGCUUUCUUGUGUUAGCGAACUGUAAAGAUCGAAAUGAUUAAACCUUCCUUGUUUAAACCUCACUCUGACAUCUAUUAUCCUGACGAAUAUGGCAUCAAGUUCUUUGAGACUGUAUGUAAUUUUUACUGCAGAUGCUGUAGUUACUUUUGUAGUUGAUCUUUCUUUAUGCUUAAGAGCUACUCUAUCUUGCAGAGUGCAAAAACGAACUUAAAUGUCGAGGAGGUUUUCUUUUCAAUAGCCAGGGAUAUCAAGCAAAGACUUGCUGACACUGAUUCAAAGGCUGAGGUAUGGAUUCUUUUGCUCGAACUAUCAACUUUUCUCGUAACAUAUAUGCAUUUUUUUGAUAAUUGUGCAAAACCUUUUCUUUAACACACGCCUUUUGUGAUAAUUAUUCUAAUUAAUUUACAUAUAUCGUUAUCUUUUUAUUAACUUUUUGUGGGUCUUUACAGCCACAGGCAAUCAAAAUUAACCAACAAGACCAGGGAGCUGGGCCAGCGGCAGCUGCUCAAAAAUCAUCUUGCUGUGGAGCUUGAACAAACUACAUAGCGGAUGAGAUCUGAAGAGUGCAUUUUCUUCUCUAUGGUGCCAUUUUGAUCCUGGGAAAACUAAUUUGUUUAUAUUCUCCUGCAUAUCAUUAUUUUACAGCUGCUACUGUCUGGUGUGAAAUGUUAUUAGAUCUUGGUAUUUUGCAAUAUUAAUUAUAUUAGAUUAUUUGUUUAAAUAACGUGCUUGAAGGCAAAUCUGCCUACCAUUUUGAUGUUUGGAAUUUGAAACUAAGAACAACCCUGGUAAAUUGGUGAACCACAUGACAUCGUGCCAAGAAUUGGAGCAUAAUUGAAUCAAUAGAUUUGUGAAGUUCAUGUCUACAAAUUGAAAGGAUCGUGUUCAAGCUAAUCCUUUAGGUCUCCUCUUCUCUGAACAGAGUUAAAACUCAGAUUAGGAUCAAUUGAUUACCCUGUUCCUGUUCGAUAGAUAGGUAAGAAUAAGCAUUGGACCCAAGUAAACUCGCUCAGGCUCGAUUGAUUUAUGCCCUUAACCGUGGUUAUCCCAAAUAUACAUUGUUAAUGAUGAUGGGAUUGAGGAGGAUGGUAGGAUCCUUGGCCUAGGUAACAUUUAACAUUGCAAUGAUGGGAUGGAAUGUACUUUGUUAUACUGCAUUGCCUAAUCACCUGGAAAUGCUGCUUUAGUUUUUUGGUAGGUAGCAUCAUUAUUUGUUAC